rnacentral:rRNA from 1 species
UCUGGUAAUGAUGGCAGAGAGGUCACACCCGUUCCCAUACCGAACACGGAAGUUAAGCUCUNGCGCCGAUGGUAGUUGGGACCUUGUCCCUGUGAGAGUAGGACGUUGCCAGGC